GACGUAGGGCGCGAGCGUUGUCCGGAUUUAUUGGGCGUAAAGAGCUCGUAGGCGGCUCAUUGCGUCAACCGUGAAAACCAGCAGCUCAACUGUUGGCUUGCGGUUGAUACGGGCAGGCUAGAAUUCGGUAGGGGAGACUGGAAUUCCUGGUGUAGCGGUGAAAUGCGCAGAUAUCAGGAGGAACACCGGUGGCGAAGGCGGGUCUCUGGGCCGAUAUUGACGCUGAGGAGCGAAAGCGUGGGGAGCAAACAGG
rnacentral:rRNA from 1 species